rnacentral:rRNA from 1 species
UACGAGUGCCCCAAGCGUUAUCCGGAAUUAUUGGGCGUAAAGGGUGUGUAGGUGGUUUGGUUAGUCUUCUGUUAAAGCUCCCGGCUUAACCGGGAAGAUGCAGGGGAAACGGCCAGACUAGAGGAUGUGAGAGGUAAGCGGAACUCAUGGUGUAGGGGUGAAAUCCGUUGAUAUCAUGGGGAACACCAAAUGCGAAGGCAGCUUACUGGCGCAUUCCUGACACUGAAACACGAAAGCGUGGGUAGCGAAUGGG